GACGAACGCUGGCGGCGUGCCUAAUACAUGCAAGUCGAACGCAGUGGGGACGGGUGAGUAACACGUGGGUAACCUCCCAUCAGAGGGGAUAACACUUGGAAACAGGUGCUAAACCGAUACUGCUGGAUGGACCCGCGUUGCAUUAGCUAGUUGGUGAGGUAACGGCUCACCAAGGCCACGAGGCAUCGCGGAUCUGAGAGGUGGACCGGCCACUCUGUGACUGAGACACGGCCCAGACUCCUCCGGGAGGCAGUAGUAGGGAUUCGGCGGAAAGGGACGCAAGUCUGACCGAGCUACGCCGCGUGAGUGAAGAAGGUUUUCGGUUCGUAAAACUCUGUUGUUAGAGAAGCGGGAUCUAACCAGAAAGCCACGGCUAACUACGUGCCAGCCGCCGCGGUAAUUC
rnacentral:rRNA from 1 species